UUUGAGGUGUUUCUAAGGUUUUCAGAAGGAUCAUCCUUGACUUGGAAAGAGAACUCCAAAUGUUGAAUUUCUUCUUCCUUCGAUGUUCAUGGUCCGGGAGAGGGCUCAACAGACAAUUCCUGGGAUGUGGGAGGUAAAGGUUCAGGUUUGGUUGUCAAGGGGCUCUGAUGGCUCAACAUGGAUUCCUGGUGGGGUUCACUAGGAUUGGUGACAAAGGAAGAGUUUUCUAGGAUGUGAUCUACUAUUUCCUUUCCUUUUGUCAGAGUUUUGUGCGCAAAUGAACCUUCGGCAGUGAUGUCGAGAUAUAGGGCAAAGAUCAUAUCUAAAUCCAUGUAAAAGAUGUGCAAUGAUAUAUCAUCGGGUAUUGACUAGUUUGGGCUUGAUGUUAAAAGGUGUGAGAAUCUAGCCCAUGCUGCACCUAAGGACU
rnacentral:lncRNA from 1 species